UACCCAGCGACUCCUAUCCCUACCUUCUCGUGGUACCGGCUGGAAACUACGAGCAACCUUAGGGAAGAUCGAGCAACCAACCCCGGGGGGAUCUUUGGUCGUAGACUGACAGGAAAGG
rnacentral:ribozyme from 1 species